GUCGUAUUUGAACUGUCUGUCUGUCUUGAACUGUCUGUCUAGCUGGACAUAUCUGUCUGCCCGGAGCUAUAUGCCACCACUAUAAUGACCAUGGAGGUCGUUCCCCUGUUGCUGGCGCUCACAGUGGUAGAAGUGGCCUUGUGGUGUGUGUGGGCAGCGCACACCAUUCCUAAGCCCCCUGAGCAUCCUGAAUUCCCACCCAGCCUCCCUCUCCCACCACCUCUGCACCAGUCCUCACCAUCGCCUCCCCUCUGCUCACCCUCAGCCCACCAUCUGUGCGGUGGGAUUGCCGAGGGUCUGCCAGUCUCCAUCAGCGUUGUGGCUGGAGGAUCCCUUGUCUCCGCCUCCAGCCUCUGAGUCCCGGACUGUGCCUCGGCCCUUUGACCCAGCGGCUCCACCAUGGCUCCAGUGGCCCAUCAGUCCACCAACUCCGCCAGGCUCCCUCGUCCCUCUGGCUCCGCCUUGGUCUGUCGUCGACAAUCUGCAGCCUCGGGACUCCACUCCUCCAGCUAUACCUCGUCCCUCCGGCUCUGUCAGGCUCCUCCUUCCCUCCGGCUCCACCUUGGUCCUCUGUCGCUUUAACUUCACCGCUGCCUUCCGGAUCCCCGCCUUUGCCUCGGUCGCCGGAGCCAUCUGCUCCGCUUUGACCCUCCAGAUCCUCGUCGUCACCCUGCCUCAUCGGCUCUCUGUCUCGGGCUCCACCACCACCUGCUCCGCCGCCAUCGGUCAGCCCUUCCUCCACCAUGGCUCCUCCUUCCAUCAGCUCCCCCGUGGGCCACCAUCCUGGCUGGGGUUUGGGUCCUCCCUGACUCCUCCUGCUCCAGCUCCUUCCAGUCUCCAUCUUGGCUCCUCCCUCCAUCUCUUCCGCCCUGGUCUUCUGCCUACUUUCCUGCCUGCCCUUCGCCACUGCCUUGUCCCCAGCCAAACCCCCUCCCACCCUCCUUUGUCCGUCCUGCCUGGGUGCAAGGCCACGCCUUCGGGGAGGGGGGGAGUAUUGUCACACUUACAGUAUGUUCAGUUCUUUUUAGUUCUCAUGGACUUUUGUUGUGUUUUAUUCCCUCAUGUGCCUGUGACCUAGUUUUCCCUCGUGUUUGAUUUGAAUCAUUAUGCUCAGGUGUGCCGUGUCAAUUUUCCUCAUUUGCCCUCCUAUUUAAGCUGCGUUAUCUACGUCCCUACGCGUGUAUCCUGCCUGUCU
rnacentral:lncRNA from 1 species